rnacentral:rRNA from 1 species
CCCUGAUGUUAGCGGCGGACGGGUGAGUAACACGUGGGUAACCUGCCUGUAAGACUGGGAUAACUCCGGGAAACCGGGGCUAAUACCGGAUGGUUGUUUGACCGCAUGGUUCAAACAUAAAAGGUGGCUUCGGCUACCACUUACAGAUGGACCCGCGGCGCAUUAGCUAGUUGGUGAGGUAACGGCUCACCAAGGCAACGAUGCGUAGCCGACCUGAGAGGGUGAUCGGCCACACUGGGACUGAGACACGGCCCAGACUCCUACGGGAGGCAGCAGUAGGGAAUCUUCCGCAAUGGACAAAGUCUGACGGAGCAACGCCGCGUGAGUGAUGAAGGUUUUCGGAUCGUAAAGCUCUGUUGUUAGGGAAGAACAAGUACCGUUCGAAUAGGGCGGUACCUUGACGGUACCUAACCAGAAAGCCACGGCUAACUACGUGCCAGCAGCCGCGGUAAUACGUAGGUGGCAAGCGUUGUCCGGAAUUAUUGGGCGUAAAGGGCUCGCAGGC